GACGAACGCUGGCGGCGUGCCUAAUACAUGCAAGUUGAGCGCUGAAGGUUGGUACUUGUACCAACUGGAUGAGCAGCGAACGGGUGAGUAACGCGUGGGGAAUCUGCCUUUGAGCGGGGGACAACAUUUGGAAACGAAUGCUAAUACCGCAUAAAAACUUUAAACACAAGUUUUAAGUUUGAAAGAUGCAAUUGCAUCACUCAAAGAUGAUCCCGCGUUGUAUUAGCUAGUUGGUGAGGUAAAGGCUCACCAAGGCGUUGAUACAUAGCCGACCUGAGAGGGUGAUCGGCCACAUUGGGACUGAGACACGGCCCAAACUCCUACGGGAGGCAGCAGUAGGGAAUCUUCGGCAAUGGACGAAAGUCUGACCGAGCAACGCCGCGUGAGUGAAGAAGGUUUUCGGAUCGUAAAACUCUGUUGGUAGAGAAGAACGUUGGUGAGAGUGGAAAGCUCAUCAAGUGACGGUAACUACCCAGAAAGGGACGGCUAACUACGUG
rnacentral:rRNA from 1 species